CCUACGGGAGGCAGCAGUGAGGAAUAUUGGUCAAUGGACGCAAGUCUGAACCAGCCAUGCCGCGUGCAGGAAGACGGCUCUAUGAGUUGUAAACUGCUUUUGUACGAGGGUAAACUCAGAUACGCGUAUCUGUCUGAAAGUAUCGUACGAAUAAGGAUCGGCUAACUCCGUGCCAGCCGCCGCGGUAAUACGGAGGAUUCAAGCGUUAUCCGGAUUUAUUGGGUUUAAAGGGGGCGUAGGCGGUAGGAUAAGUUAGAGGUGAAAUCCCGAGGCUCAACUUCGGAAUUGCCUCUGAUACUGUUCGGCUAGAGAGUAGUUGCGGUAGGCGGAAUGUAUGGUGUAGCGGUGAAAUGCUUAGAGAUCAUACAGAACACCGAGUGCGAAGGCAGCUUACCAAGCUACUUCUGACGUUGAGGCACGAAAGCGUGGGGAGCAAACAGGAUUAGAUACCCUAGUAGUC
rnacentral:rRNA from 1 species